UGCUCCGUAUGGCGGGGCCCGCCCCGCCCAGCGCGCGCCUGCGCCAUCCCGCUGUCAAGUCUGUUGGCCUGUGAAAUGGCUCCCGGCGUUGCCGUCUGUGCGUGCGCAAGCCUGGCGGCCACCCCCGAGCAAUGAAGCUGUUUCUGGGAAACCUCUUCCGGCUGCAGACCGACUGGUCGUCCUCUCUGCUCGCAGGGAACCGGGCGCUCGACAUCGAGGCCGCCCCCGCGUGCGGACAGGACAGAAGUGCGGCCGUGGGUGCCUUGAGGGUGUGAAGAGCCACAGCGCGCCGCCGCCUCGGCUUCCCUCCUCACAGACUGCCGGCCUCGAGGAGAAGCUGGACCAGGGCGCCACAGCCGACUGAGGCAGCCCGGGAGGAGUGCCGAGCGCUUGGGGCGGAAGAUUCCCCGCCUUGAACGUCAGCCAGCAGAGACGAGGCCGAGGAGGAGGGUCCUGAUGCGUGCAGCUCCACGGCCACGCGCGGAGGCCAUCUCGCAGAGGAGAGCAGCGCCGAGAACACAGGGCCACAGCCCUGGAUUUACCUCCAGACUGAGCAAAAGUUUUGCUUUCUGGGGCUGCAGCGGGGGGCAACAAACACGGCUGCCCUUAGAGGCCUGGAGAAAACCCACUGCAGCUGGAGGAAGGGGACAGAGGAAACCCUCAACCGCUUGGGCGAGGAGCAGGAAUACUGAAAAUGCCGCACAGGCAGUGUUUCUGUUGGUAUAAAAUUCUCAAAAACUCGGUUCAAAUAUGUUCAAGAUAGAGCUGAACCAUCUGCCUUUUCUGCAAAUUCAGUGUCCAGAGCUGCUUGAGGUGAGCAGAUGGGCCCAGGUGAGGUCGGGUCAGGUGAGCUCUGCAGGGGGCGGGUCUCCUCCCCCAGCCCUUUCCCAGCCCUCCCUGCACCUCCAAUUCUCCCGACCCUCUGUCUUCCGCCUGGCUCAGGGCAUUCGCCCCCCCCCCCCCGCCCCCGCCCCCCAGGGCAGGCCCCGCCCCCGCCCACUGCUCCCCCUCCCCUUGCUCCCAGGCCUGGCUCCGAUCACAGGGGGCGUUUAAGCUAUCCUGGAGCGGGGCCCUCCUUAGCGGGCACUGGCCACACCGCCUUUUGCCGCGUCGUUAUUCUUUCUCUGCUGUCCAAGCACGUGAAAGUGUGUUCCGGAAAGGCAACCACACAGCUCCUCCUGCGGCCACCUCGUGCUCCAGGAGCCCCUGCUGAAGAAAAUAAUUCAGAAAUACAAAGGGUGACGUCCUUGUGAGAAGCAGGGCUCACAGGGCCCCGCUGCCACCCGUGCUCCACACCAGCCGGAAGCAGCUGGCAGAAGCCUGCGAUGAAAGACGUGACCUGGAGGCACAGGCCAAGCGCGCUCAAACCCCGCCACUCAGAACCCCGUGGCCACGGUCUGCUCUCAUCUGUGAGCUGUGGCAUAUGCGCAGGGGGCCACUCAAAUGCUGCGCUGGGUGACAGCAGGCUGGCAGCCGGGAUCAGGUCUGGGGGAGGAGGCUCCAGCCCGGGCCUUGGUGGGCUGACUGUGGAUUGUCAAGACUUAAGACAGUGAUGGAGCAGAUGUGGUAACAGUUAACUUAACCUUGGCUGCGUCCUGGGACGCUGUGGUGGGAAUUGUGCUCCCCGUUUCUGCAAACUGCUGUCCAGUCCAGCUAAGAAUGGAGAGUGGAGCCUGCCCAGGGAUUUCACGUUCGUCUUUCCCACACACGCUGUGAUGGUCAGGCUGCUGUGACAUCUUGGCCAGGUAACUGUGCCCAGGUGUUUGGUCAAGCAAGCACUGGGCUAACUGUAAUACAAGGGCAUUUAUGGACUUCAUCACCAUUGACUUUACUGCCGUGGUAAGUCCUAGAUAGCUGCUUGUAGUCACACCAAUCAGGGAGAUCGCCAUCAGCAAUGAGUGAGGCUUUAUCCAAUCAGCUGAAUGCCUUAAAAGGAGAAGUGAUUCCAGCAUUGAGACUUUCCAGCUGGUCUUUGGACAGCCAACGUCUCCCAGAACUCAUCAAGAACCUUCACUGGACUUUCACCGGAGCCCCUGGUUGCUCCUGCCUGCAGAACCUGGACUUGUGCAUCCCCUUGGCUGCGUGAGGGACUCUGAUAAGUCUCUUACUAUCGACCGAUAUCCUUAGUUGAUUCUGUUUCCUUAGAGAGCCCUGACUCAUACACACGUCAAGCGAGAUAUCAGCGGGCACGAGCCCUGGACCCACACUCCACAGUCGCUGCCGAGGUGGGGGAGAACCCAGUUCACAGAAGUUCAGCAGGAAUGCAUAAAAGCAUCCUGCGAGAAUCAGUUAGUGCAAGGGAUUUACAAUAAGGAGGCCUCCAUCUUUUAUGAUUAUUUGUAAAUUGUGCACUAUGCAUCCUUUAUAUCUGUGACAUUAAAACAUACAGUGCCUGCCCUUUUAAAAAUAAGAAAAGCUAUUCUUAAACACUUACCAGCAUGCCAUUAGUUCCAACUGUGAAAAGAAACAAAACAAAAUAUAGUUACUAUGACUGAGAGAUUUAAAACGGAGCGGGGAGGCCGUGCAGGAAGCGACUCAUGCCGGUCUCAGCCGAGGACACAGCGCCACGAGCCGCUACGUCUCCCCAAGCCCUGGGACGCCCGGGUGCUGCGAGGACCUGCAGCUGGAGACCACCGGGUCCUGCCUUCCAGGCCACUUGCCAUUCACUGACCCCGUCCACUCCCUUCCAAGCAAGCACUUUAUUCCCUUCAUCUUCAUUUCACAAAAAUUUUGAGAAAUGUUCUUAAAAAGAAAGGAGGCGUAUGGAGUUGGACUCAGAUGUGACCUUCCUACACGUGCCUCUUCUGUCACUUUUACUGGAUCUGUGGUUGGUGCUGGGGUUGGUGUAUACUCAGGAGACCUGAAUCUCUGGACUGUCCAUGUGACAGCCAGGCCCUGAGCCUCAGCAGACUUGCAUCUCCUACCCUCUGGUUUAUUGGACUCACCCCGGCCAGCUAACAGGGAGGUGAAGAAGGUCAACCACCACACCAGGGAGCCAAGAGUGCCUACAACUGCAAGCAGGAGAAUUGCAUCCAGCAUCCAUGUGGAAUCUAAGCCCCUCUCAAUACAGAGGUGGAGAGGACAUCACCACCCCAGGGUCCACAGGCUGGAGGAAUAGAGUAUGGAUUAGAGUGGACUUACUGAUGUUCUACUAUGGAACUAUUGUGAUCAGUAAUGGAAAAAAUUGUAGCAUUGAGGUGGAGAAAGUGGCCACGGUAGCUGCUGAGGGUAGGGAGAGGGAAGAAGAGAUGUGAUGUAGGGGCAUUUUUAGGACUUGGAGUUGUCCUGGUG
ensembl:lincRNA